rnacentral:tRNA from 1 species
CGUGCGGUAGAGCAGUGGUCAUCUCAUCGGUCUCAUAAUCCGAAGGUCGCAGGUUCGAAUCCUGUCCGCGCAACAA